AUGAACGCUGACAGAAUGCUUAACCCAUGCAAGUCGCUGGGGAAGUGGUGCUUGCACCAUGGUAACCAUGGCGGACGGGUGAGUAACGCGUAAGGAACUUGCCUGCGGGACUGGGAUAACAGCAGGAAACUGCUGAUAAUACCGGAUAAGGUCAUUAAGCUGCAUAGCUUAGUGAUGAAAGGAGACGCCUGCGGAGAGCCUUGCGUCCUAUUAGCUAGUUGGAGGGGUAACGGCCCACCAAGGCGAAGAUAGGUAGCCGGCCUGAGAGGGUGGACGGCCACAAGGGGACUGAGAUACGGCCCUUACUCCUACGGGAGGCAGCAGUGGGGAAUAUUGGACAAUGGGGGCAACCCUGAUCCAGCAAUUCUGUGUGCACGAAGACGGUUUUCGGAUUGUAAAGUGCUUUCAGCAGGGAAGAAGGAAGUGACGGUACCUGCAGAAGAAGCGACGGCUAAAUACGUG
rnacentral:rRNA from 1 species